UUACUGUGGGCUGCUACGGAGCCAUGGUGGUCGUUGUACAGAGGAACAAACGCCAACUGCUCAGCGUAGACGGCAAACCAAGCCCAACCCUAGACCAAGCCACUCACGCCAUCAUGGCCGUCUUAAUCCUGAACCUGUCGAUCGGCUUGCCCCACACCGUCUACCACUUCUUGCCAACCACUACUGUACAGGAGGACAUCUUCUUUCACACCCUCUUCUCCUGCCACUUCUUCGUCGAUCCCGUCGUCUUCCUGGGUUUCAACAGGUCCUAUCGGAACAGGAUCACCGGUGUCCUGUGCGCGGGUUUCUCGAGAGUUCUCGGAAUCUGCGCGAAGGCGAUGCCUGUGCACGACGCCCAAGGUCGCAUGACAGACGAAUUCUUCCACACUUACGUGCAAGGAGCCGCCGAGAACGUGGAGAUGGCCGUGCAAAUAAGGGAUACGCAUCGGCCUAGCGACGAGACAUGAAAGAAAUUGUCUGCCAAAUUAGUCUGUAAUUUUCAGGAACCAAAGAGAUAUAUACAGUGCCAACGCAAAAUAGCUUUAUAGGAGAACGUAAUUUGUCAUUUUAUUCAUUAGUGGAAGUUUCUGUGCUGUAUAUUUUGCUUAGACUAAUAAAUAUUUCAAAGUUCUGUCUUUAGUGAUGA